rnacentral:snRNA from 1 species
AUCUUUGCGGUUGGUGCAAUGACGCAGCUAGCAAGGUUCUAAUCGAGGUGCGUCUAUUGCCUAGUUGAAAACUAUUUCCAAACCCCCUCUUCGACUGGGUUCUGCCUAGGCCGUCGAGAAUCUUAGUCUAAAUCUUUCCUUGUUCCUUUGGUACUAAGUUU